rnacentral:sRNA from 1 species
GAUGCCAGGGUCUAAAGGUCUAAACCCACAUGAGCUUGCUCAUAGGUGGGUGAAAGACUUUGUGACCCGCCCCGAUAUGAGCAUAAAAGUGGGAUUUUAAUCCCACGAUAUGCGAAUAUUGGGUAGGAUUUACGCGA